UUUCAAUAAUAAAUUAAAAAAAAGUGAUAUUUCUAAGCCGAUUUUCGAACAUCCGAACAUGGCAAACGAAAGAGCAUAUUUUUUUUCUAUAUAAUGGCAUAUUCUUUAGAGAACUUUUCUAAAUAGUUAAAAUUUAAUGAAGAAUAUAGACAAAAUUUUAGUAUCGUUCGAUAGCGAAUUUUCACGGUUUUUUCAAUUAUAAAUUGAAAAAAAGUGAUAUUUCUAAGCCGAUUUUCGAACAUCCGACCAUGGCAAACGAAAGAGCAUACUUUUUUUCUAUAUAAUGGCAUAUUCUUUAGAGAUCUUUUCUAAAUAGUUAAAAUUUUAUGAAGAAUAUAGACAAAAUUUGAGUAUCGUUCGAUAGCGAAUUUUUACGGUUUUUUCAAUUAUAAAUUGAAAAAAAUUGAUAUUUCUAAGCCGAUUUUCGAACAUCCAACCAUGGCAAACGAAAGAGCAUACUUUUUUCUAUAUAAUGGCAUAUUCUUUAGAAAUUUUUUCUAAAUAGUUAAAAUUUUAUGAGGAAUAUAGACAAAAUUUUAGUAUCGUUCGUUAGCGAAUUUUCACGGUUUUUUCAAUACUAAAUUGAAAAAAAGUGAUACUUCUAAGCCGAAUUUCGAACAUCGGUCAAUUCCAAACGAAAGAGCAUACUUUUUUCUAUAUAGUGGCAUAUUCUUUAGAGAACUUUUUCAAAUAGUUAAAAUUUUAUGGAAAAUAUAGACAAAAUUUUAGUAUCGUUCGAUCGCGAAUUUUCACGGUUUUUUCAAUUAUAAAUU